rnacentral:lncRNA from 1 species
GUCAGUAAUAUGAGACCACUAAUCCCCCACCCUACCGCCACCUGACAUUGCAUCAGGUCAGAUCAGUUUCACAAGACCCACAGAUCCCCCACAUCUCCAUGGGAGUGGAAAAUAACAGUCUUUGCUGUAACACACAGCUUAAUUCACGCCCAUAUCCUAUAGAUUUUUCAUCUAUAAAUAUGUUUAUUUAACCAAGGUAUUCUGGAUUAUUAUCGUAAAGAAAUGGAGUUUCUAACUUAAUUUGAACUGCAUUUAUGAACUCCAGUAGUUAAGACUCCAGGAAAACAUCCUCAGCACCCAGAAAUGUUCUGGGGAAGUGAGCUAGUGUCUGUGUGUGCAAGAUGUCUAGUUUAGAUACUUGGAAACUUUUCCCAGUAACCGGAAAAGAUUCCGCGUUUGAGAAAAUUGUCUGGUUAGCUGGAAAUCUCUCAUCCCUGGAAGUGCUUUGCACUAAUUGUUCUGGCUAAUGGGAAUAUCACUUGUAAUAUGGGAAUUAUGGAUGAAAUUGCAUGCAGUCAUUGUAAAGGGAUCUCAGGCUGCCGACCAGGAGGUGGUGAGAUUUUCUCUCUUCCCUCCUUCACCAUCCACCCCCUUCUCUGCCACCUUCUCUGCCACCCACCAUCUCCUCUUCACUGCUACACACCUAAAUGUAGUAUCUUAAUAUAAUUCAUAUUCUAUUCCUAUAACUCAUUCAUCUAGAUCUAUUUCAUAAUAUAUUCCUAUAAUAAUAAUCUACUUUUCGGAACUGUUUGGUUGUUUCAGAUUCAUUCCGAAUUCAAAUCGUUUAAUUAAUUUUUUAAAAACACACACGAAUUAAGCCGAAAUCCGAAUUAUAAUACGAAUUAAUGAGGAACAGUGUAUGCACUGUAUGUGGUAUGACAUUGUGGAAGGUAACAUAAUGAGAUCCACAUACCAAGACAAAGAACAUUAAUAUCCAUUAUUCAUAACUGGUUUGAUUGGUAUGGCUUUCGGGAUGCUUGUGAGUGUGCCUCUCAUAUCCUGAGAAGAGGAAAACAUUGCUUUCCAUUUGUUUGCGAUGUUGCUCAAUUAAUAUGAAAUUAUUUCCAGCAUUGGAGAAACUACCCAUCGUGUCCUUGACGGUAAACAUUGAUGUGGCACAGGAUAGCAAUGCUUUAGGAGGCUGAGGAAGAGCCAGAGAUGCAGCACUUGCUCAUCCAAAUGGAAGAAGCCUGAGUUACCAUGGAAAUGAUUCCCAUGAUUCGGACAACUUCCCGCUGAUUUGGCAUAACAUCGUCACGGACUUGUUUGUACGGCGCAUCACCCUCUUUCACCCAGUCAGAGCGGGAGGAAGAGCCACCCUCCGGGUCUCAGUGACUCGCCACCCUCCUCCUCCCCACUACCCACCACACACUCGCUCCACCUCCGCCCAUCAGAACGGAACCACGACGUUAAGCGAGGACUUACUGCAGUUCAGUGCCAAACAGUGAGGUCCCUCGUAACGAUCUUCAAGAAUGAGGUGCUUCCCUGUAUGGAGUACUGUCACCUUGUCUGUUCCCCGAGAUAUUCUAGGGACUGUCAGUUGAAUGAAAAUGCCCAAAGCAAGGCCACCAGACUGGUGCCUGCACUUCGGCACCUCAGCU